CCUCCAUGAAUACACGACUAACCCUCGUCACAAAAGGCUAACAGGCCUAACCAAAAAGUUUGACCCAAUCAUAUUGCAUACCGAACCAAGUUACCCCAGGGAUAACAGCGCCAUCCCCUUAAAGAGUUCACAUCGCCAAGGGGGUUUACGACCUCGAUGUUGGAUCAAGACUUCCCGGUGGUGUAGCCGCUACCAAAGGUUCGUUUGUUCAACGAAUAAUGUCUUACGUGAUCU
rnacentral:rRNA from 1 species